CUUCGGGGUGUGACUGCGUACCUUUUGUAUAAUGGGUCAGCGACUUAUAUUCUGUAGCAAGGUUAACCGUAUAGGGGAGCCGGAGGGAAACCGAGUCUUAACCGGGCGUUAAGUUGCAGGGUAUAGACCCGAAACCCGGUGAUCUAGCCAUGGGCAGGUUGAAGGUUGGGUAACACUAACUGGAGGACCGAACCGACUAAUGUUGAAAAAUUAGCGGAUGACCUGUGGCUGGGGGUGAAAGGCCAAUCAAACCGGGAGAUAGCUGGUUCUCCCCGAAAGCUAUUUAGGUAGCGCCUCGUGAAUUCAUCUCCGGGGGUAGAGCACUGUUUCGGCUAGGGGGCCAUCCCGGCUUACCAACCCGAUGCAAACUGCGAAUACCGGAGAAUGUUAUCACGGGAGACACACGGCGGGUGCUAACGUCCGUCGUGAAGAGGGAAACAACCCAGACCGCCAGCUAAGGUCCCAAAGUCAUGGUUAAGUGGGAAACGAUGUGGGAAGGCCCAGACAGCCAGGAUGUUGGCUUAGAAGCAGCCAUCAUUUAAAGAAAGCGUAAUAGCUCACUGGUCGAGUCGGCCUGCGCGGAAGAUGUAACGGGGCUAAACCAUGCACCGAAGCUGCGGCAGCGAACGUAUCACCCAAGACAACUUUACGGAGUUGACGAUUGACGGAGCGAAGCGACGUCAAAGCGUUCAUUAAAGUCGAGUUGGCUUAGGGAUACGUUCGUUGGGUAG
rnacentral:rRNA from 1 species